CGUACACUCCUGCGGGAGGCAGCAGUGGGGAAUAUUGCACAAUGGGCGCAAGCCUGAUGCAGCCAUGCCGCGUGUAUGAAGAAGGCCUUCGGGUUGUAAAGUACUUUCAGCGGGGAGGAAGGUGUUGAGGUUAAUAACCUCAGCAAUUGACGUUACCCGCAGAAGAAGCACCGGCUAACUCCGUGCCAGCAGCCGCGGUAAUACGGAGGGUGCAAGCGUUAAUCGGAAUUACUGGGCGUAAAGCGCACGCAGGCGGUCUGUCAAGUCGGAUGUGAAAUCCCCGGGCUCAACCUGGGAACUGCAUUCGAAACUGGCAGGCUAGAGUCUUGUAGAGGGGGGUAGAAUUCCAGGUGUAGCGGUGAAAUGCGUAGAGAUCUGGAGGAAUACCGGUGGGGAAGGCGGCCCCCUGGACAAAGACUGACGCUCAGGUGCGAAAGCGUGGGGAGCAAACAGGAUUAGAAACCCCGGUAGUCCCAUGA
rnacentral:rRNA from 1 species